rnacentral:lncRNA from 1 species
AAAUUUAUAAAAGAAUCUCUCGAAAAUCACUAAUUACUUCCGAGAAAUGUGCAUGAAACGGGAAAUUCGAUUUGAAAAAAUCGUUAAGAUGACCGUAAAUCAUAAUCAAAAUAUUUUCAAGAUGACCGUAACAUAAAACAAGGAUGACCGUGAUUGGUAAAAAGAUGACCGUAACUUGUAGAGGAUGACCGUAAUUUGUAGAGACUGACUGUAAUUUAUAUAGGACGACCG